rnacentral:rRNA from 1 species
AUGCGCCGCCGCCUACCUUGCGCGUGCCGCCAGCCACAUCUCGUGGUUUUACGCUGCCCGGAUCCCGCCGCCCCACCUGGCGUCAACGACGGCGCCCCAACCGACCCUGCAGACCCACUCCCGCGCCCCGUUCUCGUCCCUGUACGCCCCCGCCACCCGCUACUACCUCCACUGCAGGUGGCUUUGGACUUCAGCGACAAGGCGAGCUCAGAAAAACUCGCCGCCCCUCAGGUCGAGCUCAACUGCUCGUGUCUAAGGUCGCUCCUCCCGCUGCUCGUCACCGGCCAAGAUGGUGCGAGGCCGAGCUUUUGCACCAGGUCAACGCGACCUCCCGUCGGUGACUCCCUGAGACAGAGGCAUGCACAUCCUUGUCCGCCUUGUAUGCCGUCCAGCAGCCCUUCUGUCGCCGCGUCUGUGAUCUGCCUCCGUAGCUGCCAUGUUGGUGCCUACAAGUUGCAACCUGUAGUCAAGAUCCUGGGUGCUCCAUGCGUCUCGCUGCAGUCCAGAUUGGGGUAUAGACACCGUCCAAGUAAGAACAAUGGUGUAAAUUAG